rnacentral:rRNA from 1 species
UACGUAGGGCGCAAGCGUUGUCCGGAAUUAUUGGGCGUAAAGAGCUCGUAGGCGGUUUGUCGCGUCUGCUGUGAAAACCUAAGGCUCAACCUUGGGCUUGCAGUGGGUACGGGCAGACUAGAGUGCGGUAGGGGUGACUGGAAUUCCUGGUGUAGCGGUGGAAUGCGCAGAUAUCAGGAGGAAUACCGAUGGCGAAGGCAGGUCACUGGGCCGCAACUGACGCUGAGGAGCGAAAGCAUGGGGAGCGAACAGG